AACGAACGCUGGCGGCAGGCUUAACACAUGCAAGUCGAGCGCCUCGCAAGAGGAGCGGCAGACGGGUGAGUAACGCGUGGGAAUCUACCGUACCCUACGGAAUAGCUCUGGGAAACUGGAGGUAAUAACGUAUACGCACUUUGGGGGAAAGAUUUAUCGGGGUAUGAUGAGCCCGCGUUGGAUUAGCUAGUUGGUGGGGUAAAGGCCUACUAAGGCGACGAUCCAUAGCUGGUCUGAGAGGAUGAUCAGCCACAUUGGGACUGAGACACGGCGCAAACGCCUACGGGAGUGAACAGUGGGGAAUAGUGGACAAUGGGCGCAAGCCUGAUCCAGCCAUGCCGCGUGAGUGAUGAAGGUCUUGGGAUUGUAAAGCUCUUUCGCCGAUGAAGAUAAUGACGGUAGUCGGAGAAGAAGCCCCGGCUAACUUCGUGCCAGCCGCCGCAGUAA
rnacentral:rRNA from 1 species